rnacentral:tRNA from 1 species
GCGUGGUUGGUUUAGUGGUAAAAUCCAUCGUUGCCAUCGAUGGGCCCCGGGUUCGAUUCCCGGACCACGCA